UACGGAGGGUGCGAGCAUUGUCCGGAAUCACUGGGCGUAAAGGGCGCGUAGGCGGCGCGGAUAGUCGGCGGUGAAAGCCCGGAGCUCAACUCCGGGUCGGCCGUCGAUACUUCCGGGCUUGAGCACUGUAGAGGCAGAUGGAAUUCCGGGUGUAGCGGUGGAAUGCGUAGAGAUCCGGAAGAACACCGGUGGCGAAGGCGGUCUGCUGGGCAGUUGCUGACGCUGAUGCGCGACAGCGUGGGGAGCAAACAGG
rnacentral:rRNA from 1 species